rnacentral:rRNA from 1 species
UACAGAGGGUGCAAGCGUUAAUCGGAAUUACUGGGCGUAAAGCGUGCGUAGACGGUUGCGUAAGUCAGAUGUGAAAGCCCCGGGCUCAACCUGGGAAUUGCAUUUGAGACUGCGUAGCUAGGGUGCGGAAGAGGGAAGCGGAAUUUCCGGUGUAGCGGUGAAAUGCGUAGAUAUCAGGAGGAACACCGAUGGCGAAGGCAGGUCACUGGGCCGCAACUGACGCUGAGGAGCGAAAGCAUGGGGAGCGAACAGG